rnacentral:lncRNA from 1 species
CGGUUAUGAUUGGGUCUGCGCCUGCGAGCGAGAGACGUUACGAGUGUCGAGGCGGUCAGGCUGUAGACCUAAGUAGAUUUAGUGGCUGUUCGUCCACAUGUGGAAACCAAGGUGAUCGAUUUGGCCAAUAACUCUGUCGAGGGGUUUGGCUUAGAUUCACGAACGAGGUGUUCGUGUGAGCUCGUUGCGAGAGCGGAUUAGUGUUGGUCGUGGCAAUUGGAAGAGAGAGAUGUGCCGGGGUAGGCCAUCUCGUAGUAGAGUGAUUUGAGGUUAGAAGUGGCAAUUGAGAGGUAAGGGAAAGUGGUCUCUUGGAGACACUUGAAUACCGGAUAGCCACAUGGAAUUGUGGACAAUGCUCUCUUGAGAAUUGAAGGUUUGAGAUAUGCCGGGGUAGGCCAUCUUGCGGUAGAGCAAGGUCCGAAUGUGGUUAGGACACUCG